rnacentral:rRNA from 1 species
UGGGGAAUUUUGGACAAUGGGGGCAACCCUGAUCCAGCAAUGCCGCGUGUGUGAAGAAGGCCUUCGGGUUGUAAAGCACUUUUGUCCGGAAAGAAAACGCCGUGGUUAAUACCCGUGGCGGAUGACGGUACCGGAAGAAUAAGCACCGGCUAACUACGUGCCAGCAGCCGCGGUAAUACGUAGGGUGCAAGCGUUAAUCGGAAUUACUGGGCGUAAAGCGUGCGCAGGCGGUCCGCUAAGACAGAUGUGAAAUCCCCGGGCUUAACCUGGGAACUGCAUUUGUGACUGGCGGGCUAGAGUAUGGCAGAGGGGGGUAGAAUUCCACGUGUAGCAGUGAAAUGCGUAGAGAUGUGGAGGAAUACCGAUGGCGAAGGCAGCCCCCUGGGCCAAUACUGACGCUCAUGCACGAAAGCGUGGGGGAGCAAACAGGAUUAGAUACCCUGGUAGUCCACGCCCUAAACGAUGUCAACUAGUUGUCGGGUCUUCAUUGACUUGGUAACGUAGCUAACGCGUGAAGUUGACCGCCUGGGGAGUACGGUCGCAAGAUUAAAACUUAAA